rnacentral:rRNA from 1 species
AUUGAACGCUGGCGGCAUGCCUUACACAUGCAAGUCGAACGGUAACGCGGGGCAACCUGGCGACGAGUGGCGAACGGGUGAGUAAUGCAUCGGAACGUGCCCAGUAGUGGGGGAUAGCCCGGCGAAAGCCGGAUUAAUACCGCAUACGACCUACGGGUGAAAGGGGGGGAUCGCAAGACCUCUCGCUAUUGGAGCGGCCGAUGUCAGAUUAGGUAGUUGGUGGGGUAAAGGCCUACCAAGCCUUCGAUCUGUAGCUGGUCUGAGAGGACGACCGGCGAGACUGGGACUGAGCGACGGCCCAGACUCCUACGGGGGGCAGCAGUGGGGAAUUUUGGACAAUGGGCGAAAGCCUGAUCCAGCCAUGCCGCGUGCGGGAAGAAGGCCUUCGGGUUGUAAACCGCUUUUGUCAGGGAAGAAACGCUCUGAGUUAAUACCUCGGGGUAAUGACGGUACCUGAAGAAUAAGCACCGGCUAACUACGUGCCAGCCGCCGCCGUAAGAC